GCCUGGUGGUUCACAUCUAGCUGGAGCUCCAGCUAGUGGGCAGGGAGACAUAGUGCUGCUCCCAGCAGCCACGCUGCAGCUCCAUGCCCACUGGGAAAACACCUAGAAAGACAGCUGGGCCUUCAAGCCAGAGGCAACAAGAGGCUCCAAAAAUCAACUGCAAGGAGGUGGCAGCCCUAAGUAGACACCUGCUGGAAUUCUGGAAUUCAGGAUGUCCAGGUUCCCUACUACCUCUGGUGACUCACAGGACUGGAAGCCCAGAACCUCUAUGUGGAAUCCUAGACCACCACAGCUUUGGGAUCUGCCCAGGCUUGGAAGGGCUGCCAGCUUCACAGCUAUUGGACAGACCACGAUCCAGUCGGCUGAUGACCCCUUCAGACACACCCUAGGCCCUCACCAGGCUCUGGCGGUGAGUUCUGGCACCUACAUGCUUGUGCGCCACGGGGGGACACGCAGAGUCUGCACCCGGGAGCAGCCGCCCGCAGGAGGCACACAAGCCACACGUGGAGCCCACUGAUCAGCUAGAAGAGAUUUUUUAUU
ensembl:lncRNA NOP53-AS1 NOP53 antisense RNA 1